AAGUCGUAACAAGGUUUCCGUAGGUGAACCUGCGGAAGGAUCAUUAAGGAGUUGUCCUGCACCCCUCUGGGAUGGAGGUCUACGGGUGAGGCUCGGAGUUAAACCCCAGGGUCCCCGGUCCUCUUCCUCCCUCGUGUAUACCUUCCACGUUGCUUUGGCGGGCCUGGGUUCGUCCUUCUGGGCACCCUGCCGGCGUCGGACUUCGUCCCCUCCGGCGAGCGCCCGCCAGAGACCCUUACCAUUCUGAUUUUUUUCCAAUGUCGUCUGAGCAAAAAAUCACAAAAUUAAAAUAAA
rnacentral:misc_RNA from 1 species